GGUUAAGCGACUAAGCGUACACGGUGGAUGCCCUGGCAGUCAGAGGCGAUGAAGGACGUGCUAAUCUGCGAUAAGCGUCGGUAAGGUGAUAUGAACCGUUAUAACCGGCGAUUUCCGAAUGGGGAAACCCAGUGUGUUUCGACACACUAUCAUUAACUGAAUCCAUAGGUUAAUGAGGCGAACCGGGGGAACUGAAACAUCUAAGUACCCCGAGGAAAAGAAAUCAACCGAGAUUCCCCCAGUAGCGGCGAGCGAACGGGGAGGAGCCCAGAGCCUGAAUCAGUGUGUGUGUUAGUGGAAGCGUCUGGAAAGGCGCGCGAUACAGGGUGACAGCCCCGUACACAAAAAUGCACAUAUUGUGAGCUCGAUGAGUAGGGCGGGACACGUGGUAUCCUGUCUGAAUAUGGGGGGACCAUCCUCCAAGGCUAAAUACUCCUGACUGACCGAUAGUGAACCAGUACCGUGAGGGAAAGGCGAAAAGAACCCCGGCGAGGGGAGUGAAAAAGAACCUGAAACCGUGUACGUACAAGCAGUGGGAGCCUCUUUUAUGGGGUGACUGCGUACCUUUUGUAUAAUGGGUCAGCGACUUAUAUUCUGUAGCAAGGUUAACCGAAUAGGGGAGCCGAAGGGAAACCGAGUCUUAACUGGGCGUUAAGUUGCAGGGUAUAGACCCGAAACCCGGUGAUCUAGCCAUGGGCAGGUUGAAGGUUGGGUAACACUAACUGGAGGACCGAACCGACUAAUGUUGAAAAAUUAGCGGAUGACUUGUGGCUGGGGGUGAAAGGCCAAUCAAACCGGGAGAUAGCUGGUUCUCCCCGAAAGCUAUUUAGGUAGCGCCUCGUGAAUUCAUCUCCGGGGGUAGAGCACUGUUUCGGCAAGGGGGUCAUCCCGACUUACCAACCCGAUGCAAACUGCGAAUACCGGAGAAUGUUAUCACGGGAGACACACGGCGGGUGCUAACGUCCGUCGUGAAGAGGGAAACAACCCAGACCGCCAGCUAAGGUCCCAAAGUCAUGGUUAAGUGGGAAACGAUGUGGGAAGGCCCAGACAGCCAGGAUGUUGGCUUAGAAGCAGCCAUCAUUUAAAGAAAGCGUAAUAGCUCACUGGUCGAGUCGGCCUGCGCGGAAGAUGUAACGGGGCUAAACCAUGCACCGAAGCUGCGGCAGCGACGCUUAUGCGUUGUUGGGUAGGGGAGCGUUCUGUAAGCCUGUGAAGGUGUGCUGUGAGGCAUGCUGGAGGUAUCAGAAGUGCGAAUGCUGACAUAAGUAACGAUAAAGCGGGUGAAAAGCCCGCUCGCCGGAAGACCAAGGGUUCCUGUCCAACGUUAAUCGGGGCAGGGUGAGUCGACCCCUAAGGCGAGGCCGAAAGGCGUAGUCGAUGGGAAACAGGUUAAUAUUCCUGUACUUGGUGUUACUGCGAAGGGGGGACGGAGAAGGCUAUGUUGGCCGGGCGACGGUUGUCCCGGUUUAAGCGUGUAGGCUGGUUUUCCAGGCAAAUCCGGAAAAUCAAGGCUGAGGCGUGAUGACGAGGCACUACGGUGCUGAAGCAACAAAUGCCCUGCUUCCAGGAAAAGCCUCUAAGCAUCAGGUAACAUCAAAUCGUACCCCAAACCGACACAGGUGGUCAGGUAGAGAAUACCAAGGCGCUUGAGAGAACUCGGGUGAAGGAACUAGGCAAAAUGGUGCCGUAACUUCGGGAGAAGGCACGCUGAUAUGUAGGUGAAGUCCCUCGCGGAUGGAGCUGAAAUCAGUCGAAGAUACCAGCUGGCUGCAACUGUUUAUUAAAAACACAGCACUGUGCAAACACGAAAGUGGACGUAUACGGUGUGACGCCUGCCCGGUGCCGGAAGGUUAAUUGAUGGGGUUAGCGGUAACGCGAAGCUCUUGAUCGAAGCCCCGGUAAACGGCGGCCGUAACUAUAACGGUCCUAAGGUAGCGAAAUUCCUUGUCGGGUAAGUUCCGACCUGCACGAAUGGCGUAAUGAUGGCCAGGCUGUCUCCACCCGAGACUCAGUGAAAUUGAACUCGCUGUGAAGAUGCAGUGUACCCGCGGCAAGACGGAAAGACCCCGUGAACCUUUACUAUAGCUUGACACUGAACAUUGAGCCUUGAUGUGUAGGAUAGGUGGGAGGCUUUGAAGUGUGGACGCCAGUCUGCAUGGAGCCGGCCUUGAAAUACCACCCUUUAAUGUUUGAUGUUCUAACGUUGGCCCCUGAUCGGGGUUGCGGACAGUGUCUGGUGGGUAGUUUGACUGGGGCGGUCUCCUCCUAAAGAGUAACGGAGGAGCACGAAGGUUGGCUAAUCCUGGUCGGACAUCAGGAGGUUAGUGCAAUGGCAUAAGCCAGCUUGACUGCGAGCGUGACGGCGCGAGCAGGUGCGAAAGCAGGUCAUAGUGAUCCGGUGGUUCUGAAUGGAAGGGCCAUCGCUCAACGGAUAAAAGGUACUCCGGGGAUAACAGGCUGAUACCGCCCAAGAGUUCAUAUCGACGGCGGUGUUUGGCACCUCGAUGUCGGCUCAUCACAUCCUGGGGCUGAAGUAGGUCCCAAGGGUAUGGCUGUUCGCCAUUUAAAGUGGUACGCGAGCUGGGUUUAGAACGUCGUGAGACAGUUCGGUCCCUAUCUGCCGUGGGCGCUGGAGAACUGAGGGGGCUGCUCCUAGUACGAGAGGACCGGAGUGGACGCAUCACUGGUGUUCGGGUUGUCAUGCCAAUGGCACUGCCCGGUAGCUAAAUGCGGAAGAGAUAAGUGCUGAAAGCAUCUAAGCACGAAACUUGCCCCGAGAUGAGUUCUCCCUGACUCCUUGAGAGUCCUGAAGGAACGUUGAAGACGACGACGUUGAUAGGCCGGGUGUGUAAGCGCAGCGAUGCGUUGAGCUAACCGGUACUAAUGAACCGUGAGGCUUAACCUU
rnacentral:rRNA from 1 species